rnacentral:rRNA from 1 species
UCCGUAGGCGGACUAAUAAGUCAGGGGUGAAAUCCAACAGCUUAACUGUUGAACUGCCUUUGAUACUGUUAGUCUUGAAUUAUAUGGAAGUAGAUAGAAUGUGUAGUGUAGCGGUGAAAUGCUUAGAGAUUACACAGAAUACCGAUUGCGAAGGUAGUCUACUACGUAUAUAUUGACGCUAAUGGACGAAAGCGUGGGGAGCGAACAGGAUUAGAUACCCUGGUAGUCC